rnacentral:rRNA from 1 species
CAUCAAGAUAUAAGGGCGUAUGGCGGAUGUCUUGGCACCGAAAGCCGAUGAAGGACGUGGCAAGCUGCGAUAAGCCGUGUGGAGCCGCAAGCGGGCUUUGAUGCACGGAUCUCCGAAUGGGGAAACCCGGCACGGGUAAUGCCGUGUCACCCCCGUCUGAACACAUAGGGCGGGAGGAGGGAACCCGGGGAAAUGACACAUCUGAGUACCCGGAGGAAAAGAAAGAAAGACUCGAUUCCCUGAGUAGUGGCGAGCGAAAGGGGAGAUAGCCCAAACCUUAUGCGUGAAAGCCUGCGGGCGUUGCGUAUAGGGGGUUGUAGGGCCAACGUGGUCGUCCCGCAGGGCGGCCGGGGAGUUACAAAACGCGCGGGUAGCCGAACCGGACUGGAAAGUCCGGCCGUAGAGGGUAACAGCCCCGUAGGCGAAACUCGAGCGACUCCCCAGUUUGGUACCUGAGUAGAUCCGGACACGUGAAACCCGGAUCGAACCCGCGGGGACCACCCCGCAAGGCUAAACACUAACGGUGACCGAUAGCGAACCAGUACCGUGAGGGAAAGGUGAAAAGUACCCCGCAAGGGGAGUGAAAUAGUACCUGAAACCAUACGCCUACAAGCGGUCGGAGCAGAUCUUAGGAUCUGUGACGGCGUACUUUUUGCAUAACGGGCCAGCGAGUUGCUGGUGUCCGGCGAGGUUAAGCAGCGUGCUAGCCGAAGCGAAAGCGAGUCUGAACAGGGCGAUCAACAGUCGGAUGCCGCAGACCCGAAACCGGGUGAGCUAUCCAUGGCCAGGCUGAAGCGGGGGUAAGACCUCGUGGAGGGCCGAACCGACCUGGGUUGAAAACCGGGCGGAUGAGCUGUGGAUCGGAGUGAAAGGCUAAUCAAACCCGGCGAUAUCUGGUUCUCCCCGAAAUAUAUUUAGGUAUAGCCUGGCGCGUUUCGUCGCGGGUGUAGAGCACUGUUUGGUCGCGGGGCCCCACAAGGUUACCAACAUCAGACAAACUCCGAAGACCGUGGACGUUAGAGCGCCGGAGUCAGGGACGCGGGGAUAAACUUGUGUUCCGAGAGGGAAACAACCCAGACCGUCGGCUAAGGUCCCUAAAUAACGGCUAAGUGGUCAAAAGGAUGUGGCGCUGCACAGACAACCAGGAUGUUGGCUUAGAAGCAGCCAUCAUUUAAAGAGUGCGUAAUAGCUCACUGGUCAAGUGGUGUUGCGCCGAAAAUGUACCGGGCCUUGAGUCGUUUACCGAAGCCACGGACUUCUAGCUAACGCUAGGAGUGGUAGGGGAGCAUCCCGUUGCGGUAGAAGCGGCGGCGUAAGCUGAGUCGUGGACGUAUCGGGAGAGAGAAUGCUGGCAUGAGUAACGAGAGACAGGCGAGAAACCUGUCCGCCGAAAGCCCAAGGGUUCCUGGGUAAAGCUAAUCUUCCCAGGGUCAGUCGGGACCUAAGCCGAGGACGAAAGUCGUAGGCGAUGGACAGCAGGUUGAUAUUCCUGCACUGCGAACGUAGCGUUUGAGCGAUGGAGGGACGGAGAAGGGUAAGCCAACCGUGGCGCUGGUAGACCACGGGCUUGCUCGUAGGCCGGGGACUAGGAAAAUCCGGGCCCCGCGAUAGGCUGAGGAGUGAGCCGAGCCCUAUUUUGGGCGUAGUGGCCGAACCCAUGCUUCCAGGAAAAGCUUCUAAGCGAGUUGCGUGCGCACCCGUACCAAAACCGACACAGGUGGGCGAGUGGAGAACACUAAGGCGAUCGAGCGAACUAUGGUUAAGGAACUCGGCAAAUUGUCCCCGUAACUUCGGGAGAAGGGGAGCUCUGGACGGUGUAGGGCCUCGCGCCCCAAGCUGUUCGGAGCCGCAGAGAAUAGGCCCAGGCGACUGUUUACCAAAAACACAGGUCUCUGCUAAGUCGAAAAGACGACGUAUAGGGACUGACGCCUGCCCAAUGCCAGAACGUUAAGGAAGGGGGUUAGCUUGGGGUUCGCCCUAAGCGAAGCUCUCGACUGAAGCGCUGGUCAAUGGCGGCCGUAACUAUAGAUAGGACCCCGCGUGCGGUGGGAACACCGCGAGCGGACGUUGUAGUUACGUAAAUAAACCUGGCUAUAUGCUGGAAACUCCGGUUAGUAUCCGGCGCUACUCGCCUCGAACGAGAGGCAGUGACAACGCGACCGGUGCGGACGAUCAGCAGGAAAGACGGUAUUAGUGGACGCGAGGAUCAAGAAGGUCCCACCGAAGAUCGGGUAUUACCUGGCGGGCUUCACGGACGGCGAAGGCAGCUUCAACGUCUCGUUCCGGCCGCGAAAGGAUUAUCCGGUCCCGUGGAAGAUCUCGCUCAGCUUCAACGUAUCGCAGAAGGAUCGGGUCAUACUGGCCCUCUUCAAGCGGCACUUGGGCUGUGGCACCCUUCGAGGCCGGCCUGACGGGGUGUGGUACUACGAGACCACCAGCCUGACGGCUCUGACGGAAAACGUAAUACCUUUCUUCGAGAGGUUCCCGUUUUUGUCGGCCAAGAAGAAGAGAGACUUCGGGAAGUUCAAGCAGAUCGUCUCCCUUGUACAGCGAGGCGAGCAUCUCAGGGCUGACGGCAUUCGGGAGAUACUCAAGAUCCGUGAAGGCAUGAACGAUGGUGGCAAACGCCGGCAUCAGCACGCCGACAUACUCGCUACGCUAACCGAAUCCUCAGAGACUAUACGCCAGGCACCGCUGGAGAGUGGUGAUGAUGUAGUCCGAUCUCCAUCGCGAGGUGGAGGGCCAGAGUAGGCCGCGCACAAAGACGUGCGUAACGUAAAUGAACGGUCCUAAGGUAGCGAAAUUCCUUGUCGGGUAAGUUCCGACCUGCACGAAAGGCGUAACGAUCUGGGCGCUGUCUCGACCAUAGACUCGGUGAAAUUGUAGUCUCGGUGAAGAUGCCGAGUACCCGCGGAAAGACGGAAAGACCCCGUGAACCUUUACUAUACCCUGGCAUUGGAUGCUGACACAGCUUGUGCAGGAUAGGUGGGAGACUGUGAAACCGGGACGCCAGUCUCGGUGGAGUCGUCCUUGAGAUACCACCCUUGCUGUGUUGGUGUUCUAACCCCGCGCCGUGAUCCGGGUGGGGAACAGUGUCAGGCGGGUAGUUUGACUGGGGCGGUCGCCUCCUAAAAAGUAACGGAGGCGCCCAAAGGUUCCCUCAGCACGGUCGGAAAUCGUGCGCAGAGUGUAAACGCACAAGGGAGCUUGACUGCGAGAGAGACAUCUCGAGCAGGGACGAAAGUCGGGGUUAGUGAUCCGGCGGUAACGAGUGGAAGUGCCGUCGCUCAACGGAUAAAAGGUACUCCGGGGAUAACAGGCUUAUAGCCGCCAAGAGUUCACAUCGACGCGGCUGUUUGGCACCUCGAUGUCGGCUCGUCGCAUCCUGGGGCUGGAGUAGGUCCCAAGGGUUGGGCUGUUCGCCCAUUAAAGCGGUACGCGAGCUGGGUUCAGAACGUCGUGAGACAGUUCGGUCCCUAUC